rnacentral:rRNA from 1 species
UACGGAGGGUGCAAACGUUGCUCGGAAUCAUUGGGCGUAAAGCGCACGUAGGCGGCUCGUUAAGUCGGAUGUGAAAGCCCCGGGCUCAACCCGGGAAGUGCACUCGAAACUGGCGAGCUUGAGUAUGGAAGAGGGUCUCGGAAUUCCCGGUGUAGAGGUGAAAUUCGUAGAUAUCGGGAGGAACACCAGUGGCGAAGGCGGAGACCUGGGCCAAUACUGACGCUGAGAUGCGAAAGCGUGGGGAGCAAACAGG